ACACGUGUGGCUCUCCGGACCACACCUUCCUUGCCAAUACUUUCUUUCUCUGCUGGCUACAUCUUGCAAGCACUUUAAUUUGAAAUUUGAAAAUUACGCUUCUUUUACACACUUUCAUUAACACGUUGUUAUGGGCUUUGUUGCGAGCUCGAGAAAGAAGAGAUUAUCGUUGUUUUUAUGGAUUAAUUCAGUGGUCGUCAGAUCUUCGCAGGAGAAGAAGUCCUCACACAAGUGAAUCUUUUGUUUUCAAUUUUGUUUUAGUUUCUGAGCUGCUCCAACUUGAGUGAAUGUUAUGAUGUCGAACAAAGAUGUUGACCUAUGUUUCUUGCCGUGAAUAGACAUGAACCUCUACCUAAUCAUCCUAUGUUUAAUCAGCGCAAUGGGCUGGCGACAUCCUUGGAAGGCCAUGACGAUCAUUCCAGUGGCCGUGGGCAUUAGCUUUGGAGGUCUGAGGUAUGUUGUAAAAUAGUGGAGGCCUUUGAAGGCUGUGUAAUUUUCCAGGCGGUUGAUCACAAUAUUGACAGCAAUUUGAAUUCUGAAAUGUAUAGUCUUUUUCGUGAAUUCUUUGCUUUGCCAGUUGAACAAAAGCUCGGGUUUGAUACAAUCGGCGGUAAGAAAGAUGAGAUGGGAAGGUGUUCUUCUUUUACGCGGUUUGGAUUCAAGGCUAUCUAAGGAUCUCCCUUCUGAUCUUCAAAAACUCGGGUCCUUAAUUAACAAGCAGCUGCAAUGAACACAAAACUCAGCUCUCUCUAAAAUCUGAAUGUGGAACAGCGAUAUACGAGUCAAAAUCAGACCAAGUGACAAAGCGGUGAAAGGAGAAUUUCUAAAUAAAUGGCAUAGAGUAACUAAAACAGAAACAUGAAUCACACAUCUACAACGCAUUGGUUUUGGAUUAAUUCUGUCCGUCAUUGCAAUGGGAGUUGCAGCUUUAGUCUCCCAUUUAAGUUUUUGUGUCUAUAUGUCUGUAUAAUAUAUAUGUCUAAAUGUUGUUCUUGGUUUAUAAAGUUUGGAUUUUGAUGGGUCUUCUGUGUAGUUGUGUUUUGAUGGGUCUUUUGUUUGGAGAGUUGCUAUAGGAACAGAAUGAGAAAGAGAUUGUUUGGAAUUUGAAGGAACCGUGAUUGUUUGAAUUCUAAUACUGGACUAGAGUGUUCUGCUAUAUUUCUAGCAGAGAUUCGUUUGUCCAUGUGUGUUGCAGGUCUCGAGGAAAUUUGCUACCAAAGCUGCUCCUCCAAGGAAAAGAAAGUUGAGAUAAGAAUUUUAGUUAGGAAAUAAAGGAUGAAUAUUGCUCCCAGGAUUUUAUUGCAAACUGUCCCUGUUUCCACAAAUUGCCCAUGGUUGAUAAGUAUUUGUGGAGAGAUGAACUUGGUUGAUUGGUUUAAAGUGAUGGAUGCAAGUCGUCGUUGAGAAGAGUUAAUAGAUAAUCUUAUUGAAGUACAUCCACCACCUAGAGCAUUGAAGCGCGCAUUGAUCCUGUGCCUUCAUUGUAUAGACUUCCAUCCUCUGAGUGUCCCAAGAUGGGGCAAGUUGUACACCUGCUCGAUGCAGAAGACUUUCCUUUCCAUAGUGUAACUUUUCAUUGUGUUUUGAUAGUUAUGGAAACCAAUACUUUUGUAGUAGGAUUCUUUUGGGAGGGAAGUCACUGAGAAAAGCAUUAAGUGAUGGACAGUCAACAAGUACCCGAUACUGCUUUUUGUUGUAAUUAAACUUUGGUCGGUUACCGUG